AGCAGCCGCGGUAAUUCCAGCUCCAAUAGCGUAUAUUAAAGUUGUUGCAGUUAAAAAGCUCGUAGUUGAAUUUCGGGGUUCUACCGUUGGUCAGGCAAUUGUCUGUACUGGCGUGUGGAAUUUCUACCUUCUGGGGAACCAUCAUGUUAUUAAUUUAGCGUAGUGGGAAACCAGGACCUUUACCUUGAAAAAAUUAGAGUGUUCAAAGCAGGCUUACGUCUGAAUACAUUAGCAUGGAAUAAUAAAAUAGGACGGUGGUCCUGUUUUGUUGGUUUCUGAAUCACCGUAAUGAUUAAUAGGGAUAGUUGGGGGCAUUAGUAUUCAAUUGUCAGAGGUGAAAUUCUUGGAUUUAUUGAAGACUAACUUCUGCGAAAGCAUUUGCCAAGGAUGUUUUCAUUAAUCAAGAACGAAAGUUAGGGGAUCGAAGACGAUCAGAUACCGUCGUAGCCUUAACCAUAAACUAUGCCGACUAGGGAUCGGGCGAUGUUAAUUUUUCUUGACUCGUUUCGGCGCCUUAACG
rnacentral:rRNA from 1 species